AGAGAGAGAGAGAGAGAGACCUGCUCAUUCCAAUUCCCACAUCCUGUCCAGCAAAUAACCCAGGCUGGGCCGGUCCUGCGAGGCACGGGUUUCUUGGAGCAAAUGGUCGAUUUGUGCAAUAGAACACAUGGUUUUGCUUUCCUUUUCUCAAGAAGAUGAAUGUACAGCAAGCUCAUGAGAGGAUGACACUCAACUGUCCUUUGGAGGAGACACUUCCCUUCAGGUUCGCCCAGGAAAGCUGUUCCUUUAAAACCUCCUUCCCUUCAUCGACAAGGUCCCCAGUUAUAUAAAAUGAUUCCGUUUGACAAUGAACAAGAUUAGAUUGAGCUUGGCCUUGUUCAGUGGCCCAGGCUUGUUCGUAAUGCUCUCUGUGGGGAGGAAUGAAGGAAGAGAAUGCGGUUGAGUGAAGUAGCAUGAAACAUGGCACUUGGAUCAGAGGGCUUUUCGGACUCCUUUCAACUGUGGGGAAUUGGUUUAAAGGAAAACGACCAGUGUGUGCCCUGGCCGCACAGCUGCUCAGCGGCGGGGGAGCAAGGCCACAGUGCACGUUCACGCCGCCAGAGUGCGUGCACGCGUGCACCAGGGCAGUGCGAGCAUGUCUGUGUGCAGAGCGGUGGCUCUCCAGUAACCCAGCCUGGCACUAACUCAGCGUCCAUCCAGAGCAAAAUGAAAACGAAUUGCAGUGUAUUCCCUCGAUAAAUAUUACAGAACAGUGAGGAAGAAGUAACUGUGAAUGCAGCCUUGUGGAUGGAUCUCACACACAUGCUGAAUGACAGUAGGCAGGUGCAGAAGUUUAUGUGGACGAUGCCACACAGGUCUGUGAGGACACGUCUCAGUGGGACUGUUCUCUGCUUCCCGCCAGCAUUUCCAUGAGGAGAACUGGAGCUUCACCUGCCUUUCAGCUGCGAGGAGCUGCACAGAGCCCCACAGAGCCCCCUGUGGACUGGCUGCACGCAGGCCGGGGGCGGGCACAGAAGCGAGGCCUGGCGGAGGCCAGUUGUGCAGACCAGUCUGGGUUGACCGGGAAGCAGUCAGCUGGCAUUCAGAUCUAGGCAAGCUUUUUGGAAGGUUUAGGGGCUGGGGGAGCCUCUCGGAUGGGCUGUGGGUGGGCCUGCUGCCCUGGCCUUGCGUGCUGGCUCCUUCACUUUCCAGCUGUGACUCCGGAAAAUUCCAGCAGCCUUUGAGCCUGUUUCUCCAACGGAGAGGCUGGGGAUAAGACUAGGACCCACCUCACGCGUGAGUUCGCUGGGUUGGCCCGGGCCUGCUGCAGCAGGUGCUCAGUUAUUGGCCAGCUUUGUUAUAAGAACGUGGACAAGGAUUCGGAGGUUGGAGAGAUGAGUGUGCACCUUCUUUGGAGCUAGGCUGUUUAGUUCAGGAGUGACGGUCUGACCCCUGUGUUGCACAUGCCCAGUUUUGUAAAGUGAAUGCGGAUUGAACAGGGCAGCAAACAUGUCUUCACAGCCAUCCACUCUGGAGGAGGGGGGGUCCCCUGAAUCGUGGCUGUUGGCUCUAAC